UACAGAGGUCCCAAGCGUUGUUCGGAUUCACUGGGCGUAAAGGGUGCGUAGGUGGCGGGGAAAGUUUGAUGUGAAAUCUCCGGGCUUAACCCGGAAAUGGCAUUGAAUACUAUUCCGCUUGGAGGGUUGGAGGGGGGACUGGAAUUCCAGGUGUAGCGGUGAAAUGCGUAGAUAUCUGGAGGAAGACCAGUGGCGAAGGCGGGUCUCUGGACAGUUCCUGACGCUGAGGCACGAAGGCCAGGGGAGCAAACGGG
rnacentral:rRNA from 1 species